rnacentral:rRNA from 1 species
GAUGAACGCUGGCGGCGUGCUUAACACAUGCAAGUCGAACGGAAAGGCUCCUGCUUGCAGGGGUACUCGAGUGGCGAACGGGUGAGUAACACGUGGGUGAUCUGCCCUGCACUUCGGGAUAAGCCUGGGAAACUGGGUCUAAUACCGGAUAGGACGAUGGUUUGGAUGCCAUUGUGGAAAGUUUUUCGGUGUGGGAUGAGCUCGCGGCCUAUCAGCUUGUUGGUGGGGUAAUGGCCUACCAAGGCGUCGACGGGUAGCCGGCCUGAGAGGGUGUACGGCCACAUUGGGACUGAGAUACGGCCCAGACUCCUACGGGAGGCAGCAGUAGGGAAUAUUGCACAAUGGGCGCAAGCCUGAUGCAGCGACGCCGCGUGGGGGAUGUCGGCCUUCGGGUUGUAAACUCCUUUCGCUAGGGACGAAGCGCAAGUGACGGUACCUGGAGAAGAAGCACCGGCUAACUACGUG